GUCUAUAGUUAUACCACCCUGAACAUACCUAAUCUUGUCUGAUCUUGGAAGCUAAGCAGGGUCAGAGGGUCAGGCCUGGUUAGUACUUGGAUGGGAGAAUAAAGCCUUGGAGA
rnacentral:rRNA from 1 species